rnacentral:tRNA from 1 species
GGGCCGUUAGCUCAGCUGGGAGAGCGCUUGCNNAGGUCAGCGGUUCGAUCCCGCUACGGUCCACCA